rnacentral:rRNA from 1 species
AUUGAACGCUGGCGGCAGGCCUAACACAUGCAAGUCGAGCGAGUGGCGGACGGGUGAGUAAUGUCUGGGAAACUGCCUGAUGGAGGGGGAUAACUACUGGAAACGGUAGCUAAUAACGCAUACCAUCAGAUGUGCCCAGAUGGGAUUAGCUUGUAGGUGGGGUAAUGGCUCACCUAGGCGACAAUCCCUAUCUGGUCUGAGAGGAUGACCAGCCACACUGGAAUUGAGACACGGUCCAGAAUCGUACGGGGUGCAGCAGUGGGGAAUAGUGCACAAUGGGCGCAAGCCUGAUGCAGCCAUGCCGCGUGUGUGAAGAAGGCCUUCGGGUUGUAAAGCACGUUCAGCGGGGAGGCGUUACCCGCAGAAGAAGCACCGGCUAACUCCGUGCCAGCCGCCGCGGUAAUUC